GACUUCCGGAUCCCAGGAGGAAAGGGGAGACACAAGGAAGGAGAAGGGCCUUUUCAGAGCCUGCAGCGCUAUGGGAGAGUGACCAAGGAUGUUUGACAAGGGCAGAGGGAAUAAGCUACUAAGAUUAGGAUUCAAGGGUCAAGAGAGUGGCUGGAGCUAAAGGCAAGAAAGUCAAAAGAGAAGCCGAGUUAGGGCUGGUGGCAGCUGAUCCCAGAGCUAAGUGGAGUGGAACAAAAGAGAUGUUGGGAGGGGCUGUUAUCGUGGCCUCGGAAAGGCGGUAGCAUUUUAAAACUACAUGCAACAGGGAGUGGCACUUUUAGAAGAUGUGUUCCUGUUGGAGUGGUUGUGACCUUAUUGGAGGAAGUGUGUCACUAUGGAGGCAGACUUUAAGACCCUCAUCCUAGCUGCCUGGAAGUCAGUAUUUUGCUAGCAGCCUUCAGAUGAAGAUGUAGAACUCUCAGCUCCUCCUGUACCAUGUCUGCCUGCACAUUGUCAUGCUCCCACCUUGAUCAUACUGGACUGAACCUCUCAACCUGUAAGCCAGCCCCAAUAAAAUGUUGUCUUUGUAAUAGUU
rnacentral:lncRNA from 1 species